AUGAACGAAGGGGAAAAAUGUCAAGUAGACCAAGUAGACGCCUCUUCUUUCUACUCAGACUUUCUCUUUCCUGUCUCUCUCUCCUUGUCUCUUUCUCCUUCCUUUCUCUCUCUCUCCUUGUCUCUUCUCCUCCCUUCUCUCUCUCCUUGUCUCCUUCUCCGUCUUUCUCUCUCUUCUUGUCUUUUUCUUGUUCUUUUGUCUCUCUCCUUGUCUCUUUCUCCUUCUCCGUUCUCUCUCUCCUUGUCUCCUCUGUCUCUCUCUCUCUCCUUGUCUCUUUCUCUUCCCGUCUCCCUCUCUCCUGGUCUCCUUCUCCCGUCUCUCUCUCCUUGUUUCCUUGUCUCUCUCUCUCUCCUUGUCUUUCUUUUCCCGUCCCUCUCUCCUGGUCUCCUCUCCGUCUCUCUCUCCUGUCUCUCUCUCUCCCCUGUCUCUUCUCUUUCCCGUCUCUCUCUCUCUGGUCUCCUUCUCCUCUCUCUCCUUGUCUCCUCUGUCUCUCUCUCUCCCCUGUCUCUUUCUCUUCCUUCUCUCUCUCUCUUGUCUCUUUCUCCUUCCCUUCUCUCUCCUUGUCUCCUUCUCCGUCUUUCUCUCUCUUCUGUCUUUUUCUUGUUCUUUCGUCUCUCUCCUUGUCUCUUUCUCUUCCCGUCUCUCUCUCUCCUUGUCUCCUCUGUCUCUCUCUCUCUCCUGUCUCUUUCUCUUUCCCGUCUCCCUCUCUCUGGUUCCUUCUCCGUCUCUCUCUCCUUGUCUCCUCUGUCUCUCUCUCUCCUUGUCUCUUUCUCUUCCCGUCUCCCUCUCUCCUGGCUCCUUUCCUCUCUCUCUCCCUUGUCUCUCUCUUCCCCUGUCUCUUCUCUCCGUCUCUCUCUCUCCUGGUCUCCUCUCCGUCUUCUCUUGUCUCCUCUGUCUCUCUCUCUCCCCGUCUUCUUUCUCUUUCCCGUCUCUCUCUCUCCUGGUCUCCUUCUCCGUCUCUCUCCUUGUCUCCUUGUCUCUCUCUCUCCCCUUGUCUCUUUCUCUUUCCCGUCUCCUCUCUCUCGUCUCCUCUCCUUGUCUCCUCUGUCUCUCUCUCUCCCCUUGUCUCUUUCUCUUUCCCGUCUCUCUCUCUCCUGGUCUCCUUCUCCGUCUCUCUCUCCUUGUCUCCUCUGUCUCUCCUUCCCCUGUCUCUUUCUCUUCUCCGUCUCUCUCUCUCCUGGUCUCCUCCUCCGCACUCUCUCUCCUUGUCUUUUCCUUGUUCUUAAAGUCGCUGUAAGAUCCUUAUGA
ensembl:lncRNA